AUACGUAGGGAGCGAGCGUUGUCCGGACUUACUGGGCGUAAAGGGCGCGUAGGCGGCGCUUCAAGUCGUCUGUCAAAUGGGAGGGCUUAACCCUUUUUCGCAGACGAAACUGGAGAGCUUGAGAAGCAGAGAGGCAAACAGACUUCCUGGUGUAGCGGUGAAAUGCGUAGAGAUUGGGAGGAAAACCCGUGGCGAAUGGGACUUACUGGACUGUAACUGACGCUGAGGCGCGAAAGUGUGGGGAGCAAACAGGAUUAGAUACCCUGGUAGUCCACACUGUAAACGAUGAAUGCUAGGUGUAGGGGGUAUCGACCCCUUCUGUGCCGCAGUUAACACAAUAAGCAUUCCGCCUGGGGAGUACGGCCGCAAGGUUGAAACUCAAAGGAAUUGACGGGG
rnacentral:rRNA from 1 species